AGAGGAAAACAAUAACUGAAUUGAAAGAGAAGAAACUCCAGGAAAAUAUUCAGCUGCUGGAAGCCAAGAUAGAAGAGCUUGAGGAAAUUCUCAUACUCUGAAGAGCACGCUCAGCUUAGCAAGCGUCUGAAGGAGCAGCAGAGGAGACACAUCGAGUUCUGUCGUCUGUUGCUGGGCAACCAGAUGACCUCCACCCCUCUGGCCCAUCCCUCCUCAUCCCAACAGACUCCAUCUUCUCAAACACACAGGAGGAGCAGCACCAGAGGGAGUUGUCUGUGCUGCGGAGACGCUUGGAAGAUCUGGAAAGCAGUCAGCAGCAGCAGCAGUUGGAAGAGCUGUCCACACCUCUGGACAGAGACCGUGAUAGACUCCUAAGUCCACAGGAUGCUCUUCCUGACCUCUCUUGACAACUACCUGUGUGAUUACAUUCACCUUGUGCCAAAAU